rnacentral:rRNA from 1 species
UACAGAGGGUGCAAGCGUUAUUCGGAAUUAUUGGGCGUAAAGGGCGCGUAGGCGGCCUUUCAAGUGACGGGUGAAAGCCCUCGGCUUAACCGAGGAACUGCCUGUCAGACUGGAAGGCUUGAGACCGGGAGAGGUGAGUGGAAUUCCCAGUGUAGCGGUGAAAUGCGUAGAUAUUGGGAGGAACACCAGUGGCGAAGGCGGCUCACUGGACCGGUACUGACGCUGAGGCGCGAAAGCGUGGGGAGCAAACAGG